rnacentral:rRNA from 1 species
GGGUGACCGGCCACACUGGGACUGAGACACUGCCCAGACUCCUACGGGAGGCUGCAGUCGAGGAUCAUUCGCAAUGCGCGAAAGCGUGACGAUGCGACGCUGCGUGGGGGAUGAAGGCCUUCGGGUCGUAAACUCCUGUCAUGAGGGAAAAGUAUCCCUGCGAUUAAUAGUUGUGGGGCUCGAUGGUACCUCAAGAGGAAGCCACGGCUAACUCUGUGCCAACAGCCGCGGUAAUACAGAGGUGGCGAGCGUUGUUCGGAUUUACUGGGCGUAAAGGGUGCGUAGGUGGUUUUGUGUGUCGGAUGUGAAAGCCCAUGGCUCAACCGUGGAAUUGCAUUCGAAACUGCAGAACUAGAGUGCAGGAUGGGAGAGCGGAAUUCUUGGUGUAGCGGUGAAAUGCGUUGAUAUCAAGAAGAACACCGGUGGCGAAGGCGGCUCUCUGGAAUGCUACUGACACUGAGGCACGAAAGCUGGGGGAGCAAACAGGAUUAGAUACCCUGGUAGUCCCAGCCGUAAACGGUGCACACUUGGUGUGGGGAGAUUUAACCCUCUCCGUGCCGGAGCUAACGCGUUAAGUGUGCCGCCUGGGGAGUACGGCCGCAAGGCUAAAACUCAAAGAAAUUGACGGGGGCCCGCACAAGCGGAGGAGCAUGUGGCUUAAUUCGACGCAACGCGAAGAACCUUACCAGGGCUUGACAUAUACCUGCAAGCCCCGUGAAAGCGGGGAAUCCUUCGAGGGUGGUAUACAGGUGCUGCAUGGCUGUCGUCAGUUCGUGCCGUGAGGUGUUGGGUUAAGUCCCGUAACGAACGCAACCCUUGUGACUAGUUGCCACCGGCGGUGAUGAGCCGCCGAGCACUCUAGUCAGACUGCCCGUACAAGCGGGAGGAAGGUGGGGAUGACGUCAAGUCAGUAUGGCCCUUACGCCCUGGGCUGCACACGUGCUACAAUGGUCGGUACAAUGGGAUGCAAUAUCGCGAGGUGGAGCAAAUCCCCAAAGCCGGCCUCAGUUCGGAUUGGAGUCUGCAACUCGACUCCAUGAAGUCGGAUUCGCUAGUAACGGCGCAUCAGCUACGGCGCCGUGAAUACGUUCCCGGGCCUUGUACACACCGCCCGUCACAUCAUGAAAGCCGUCUGCACCCGAAGUCGCUAAUCUAACCCGCAAGGGAUGUAGGCGCCGAAGGUGUGGGUGGUGAUUGGGAUGAAGUCGUAACAAGGUA